UACGUAGGGUGCAAGCGUUGUCCGGAAUUAUUGGGCGUAAAGAGCUCGUAGGCGGUCUGUCGCGUCGGCUGUGAAAACUCGGGGCUCAACCCCGGAGCUGCAGUCGAUACGGGCAGGCUAGAGUUCGGCAGGGGAGACUGGAAUUCCUGGUGUAGCGGUGAAAUGCGCAGAUAUCAGGAGGAACACCGGUGGCGAAGGCGGGUCUCUGGGCCGAUACUGACGCUGAGGAGCGAAAGCGUGGGGAGCGAACAGG
rnacentral:rRNA from 1 species